rnacentral:lncRNA from 1 species
CUUUGAGGAUCAACUGGCUGAGGGUGAGAGGAAAAUCUCCAAUCUUCGUGGUGGACAGAUUGACUGGGGAAAAGACCUUUGCCUUGCUGGGACCAUCUAAGGACACCACAACUUGAAUUCCUGAUACCUGACCAAUCAUUGAUUCUGUAUAUGAGGUUCCGUGUCACAUGCCCCUGUAUCAUUGUUGACAGUGCUACUCCUGCCAGGGAACCACUCUUUCCCCUUUAGCUGGCUUUUGGAUUACUGAAAAUGGAACCGCUGUCUCUCAAAUCAGGUGAUCUGAACAUCAUUUUGGAAACCAGUGGAGCACCCUCUGUUUCUCCUGUUCUGCUGGGUCACAAUACUCCACAC